ACCAUGGCCCUGCAGCUGCGGCUCCGUACUGUCUCCGGUCUCCGCGGCAAAGCCGACCGGAUCGCCAAGGCAGUUUUCCGAGGCCUGUCCUUCUACACCCGAGUGCUUGAGAACUGCGAGGACGAGGCCAGGUUUGACGAGACCUUCCGCUGGCCGGUGGCCAGCAAUAUCGACGGGAACGAGAUGUUGGAGGUGCAGGUGUUCAACUACAGCAAA